rnacentral:rRNA from 1 species
GUGGGGAAUUUUGGACAAUGGGCGCAAGCCUGAUCCAGCAAUGCCGCGUGUGUGAAGAAGGCCUUCGGGUUGUAAAGCACUUUUGUCCGGAAAGAAAUCUCCUGGGUUAAUACCUCGGGGGGAUGACGGUACCGGAAGAAUAAGCACCGGCUAACUACGUGCCAGCAGCCGCGGUAAUACGUAGGGUGCGAGCGUUAAUCGGAAUUACUGGGCGUAAAGCGUGCGCAGGCGGUGCUGUAAGACAGGCGUGAAAUCCCCGGGCUCAACCUGGGGAUUGCGCUUGUGACUGCAGUGCUGGAGUGCGGCAGAGGGGGAUGGAAUUCCGCGUGUAGCAGUGAAAUGCGUAGAGAUGCGGAGGAACACCGAUGGCGAAGGCAGCCUCCUGGGAUGACACUGACGCUCAUGCACGAAAGCGUGGGGAGCAAACAGGAUUAGAAACCCGGGUAGUCC